GGGGGCGUCGGUUAGUGGUAAACCACGAGUUUCCAAAACUCGAACUGGGGGUUCGAUUCCCUCCGCCCCUGCCG
rnacentral:tRNA from 1 species